rnacentral:rRNA from 1 species
GAAGAGAGCUUGCUCUCUGAUUCAGCGGCGGACGGGUGAGUAAUGCCUAGGAAUCUGCCUGGUAGUGGGGGACAACGUCUCGAAAGGGACGCUAAUACCGCAUACGUCCUACGGGAGAAAGCAGGGGACCUUCGGGCCUUGCGCUAUCAGAUGAGCCUAGGUCGGAUUAGCUAGUUGGUGAGGUAAUGGCUCACCAAGGCGACGAUCCGUAACUGGUCUGAGAGGAUGAUCAGUCACACUGGAACUGAGACACGGUCCAGACUCCUACGGGAGGCAGCAGUGGGGAAUAUUGGACAAUGGGCGAAAGCCUGAUCCAGCCAUGCCGCGUGUGUGAAGAAGGUCUUCGGAUUGUAAAGCACUUUAAGUUGGGAGGAAGGGUUGUAGAUUAAUACUCUGCAAUUUUGACGUUACCGACAGAAUAAGCACCGGCUAACUCUGUGCCAGCAGCCGCGGUAAUACAGAGGGUGCAAGCGUUAAUCGGAAUUACUGGGCGUAAAGCGCGCGUAGGUGGUUUGUUAAGUUGGAUGUGAAAGCCCCGGGCUCAACCUGGGAACUGCAUUCAAAACUGACAAGCUAGAGUAUGGUAGAGGGUGGUGGAAUUUCCUGUGUAGCGGUGAAAUGCGUAGAUAUAGGAAGGAACACCAGUGGCGAAGGCGACCACCUGGACUGAUACUGACACUGAGGUGCGAAAGCGUGGGGAGCAAACAGGAUUAGAUACCCUGGUAGUCCACGCCGUAAACGAUGUCAACUAGCCGUUGGGAGCCUUGAGCUCUUAGUGGCGCAGCUAACGCA